ensembl:snoRNA
UGCGGCCAUGUCAAAUUUGGUGCCUACCCUACCGAUGGCAGGCACUGUCCAAAAGGCUGCCAUAGAAACACUGUGACUCAUGGGCCCUGUACCCCUUGCCUGGGCUCAGGGAUAAAUUUGAUCACAGACAUCA